ensembl:lncRNA
GUCGGCCAUGUUUGCUAUGUGAGUCUGCACUGUGUGCAGGCGUUUCAGUUUAACUGCAGGGUGGCUCUGCGGUGCCUUAACCGUGGGAAACGGUGCGGGAAGACACGCCAGCCCCUGGCUUCGCGGCCGCGGGCUCGCGUGGUAGCCCAGGAUGAUGGCGUCCUCUACCGCCGCCGCCCUACGGGUGCCGCGCGAGCCGCCGCCGUUGCACGAGCGCAGACGUUGGCUGAGUGGACGCGGGACGGGCCGGGAAGCUCCGAUUCCGGCGCCGCGGCGCGAGAAUCUUCAAGAAGCUUUGGAAGCGUUCUCAGCCACCUUCCACUUUCUCUUAGGUCGGCCACCACGGCCUCCACCGCCCCUCCUCGGCUCCCAUUCUCCUUACAGCUCCAGUCGGCCUCCAGUUACCCUGCUGUAGUUGCGGGAACCCGGAGCACAUCUAGCACGUAGCUGAGCUUUUUAAGUAAAAGGACCUAGGAUCCAACCAACACCCUCACCUUCCUGCCUCAGUUUACAAAUGCCGCCCCAAGGCGUGUUUCGGCACUACAGCCACGCACCUUGUUCCGGCACGGCUUCAACUCCUGUUACUUUAGCUCCCUCACCCCGCCAUCCUUAAAUAAAUCCGUGCACGGUCAGGAGUAUUAAUGGAACGGAGUAUGGCAGCGGAGACCGCUCUGUGCACCUGUGUACUUUAAAAAAAAAUUCUUAUUUUAUGGACAUAGGUGUCUUGCCUGCAUGUAUACCCGUGUGAGGGCAUCAGAUCUUGGAGUUACAGUUGUUGGCUACCGUGUGGGUGUCCUCUGGAAGAGCAGUCAGGGCUCUUAACCACUGAGCCAUCUCUACAGCUCCUACCCAUGUACUAGUAAGAUUCUGAUUUCCCAGGGUUGAGAGACUUGCUCUACCAAGGUUUUCUCAUGUAAGGAGAGGUAGUGCUCAUGCCUGCCCUUCCCUCCACUCCACGCUAUGGAGCGCUUAAGGAGCCUUCCUAGAUUUGCAGAGGCCAUUGGGGGUUGUGUUUUCUAUAUGGGAAGGUUACAAUCAGUAUAUCUUCUAAAUGCCUGACAGGUUUUUAUUUUUUAUUUUUUAUUUUGGUUUUUCGAGACAGGGUUUCUCUGUGUAGCUUUGGAGCCUAUCCUGGCACUCGCUCUGGAGACCAGGCUGGCCUCGAACUCACAGAGAUCGGCCUGCCUCUGCCUCCCGAGUGCUGGGAUUAAACGAGUGCGCCACCAACGCCUGGCCAGGCAGGUAUCUUAAUUGGUUAUAAUUUCCCAUCCCAAAUCAACAUUGACUAUCAUACUUAAUUUUCUGUUCCUAAUUUUACAUUUUUCUAAAAAAAUUCCUUAAUACUUCGUAAGUUCCCAUUCCAAUAAAACUUGAUCCACACCUAUCUAUCCUUAGAACUGUUUUUGAUAAUAUGCAGGAAACUCUGAACACGGCAGGUGGAAAUUCAUGAGCCUUCAAUAAAUGUUAGCUGUAAUUAAAGGUCCAUAAACUAAACAUCAAAGCAGUAAGCCGCCAAGAAGACAGCAGAAUCCAUACCACUGAAAAAACAGAAGGCACACCCCAGAGCAUGUUCCACCAACUGGGGACCAAUCACUCAAAUAUACGAGCUUAUGGAGGCCAUUCUCACAUAAACUAUCACAAAAGAAAUACAUAGUUGAAAAAAAGUUGGACAUGAUUCUUUAACUCAAGAAUGAAGAUCAGAAAGUCUUCUCCAAGCUCCACUCCUAAAACAACCAGAGGAUCCUAUCUCUUCCUGUGCCUUUGCUGGAACUUCAAGUACAAUAUUGAAGAGAUAUGGAGAGUUGACAGUCUUGUCUUGUUCCUGAUUUUAGAGGAAUCUCUUCCUCUCCUGAGACAAGGUUUCUCUGAGUAGCCCUGGAUGUCCUGGAACUUGCUCUUUAGACCAGGCUGGCCUUGAAUUCACAGAGAUCUGCUUGCCUCUGCUUCCUGAAUACUGGGAUUAAAGGUGUGUACUACCAC